GAGAUAGAGGAGUGCUCGAAAGAGAGCCGUAACACAGGUGCUGCAUGGCUGUCGUCAGCUCGUGUCGUGAGAUGUUGGGUUAAGUCCCGCAACGAGCGCAACCCUUGCCAUUAGUUGCUACGAAAGGGCACUCUAAUGGGACUGCCGGUGACAAACCGGAGGAAGGUGGGGAUGACGUCAAGUCCUCAUGGCCCUUAUAGGUGGGGCUACACACGUCAUACAAUGGCUGGUACAGAGGGUUGCCAACCCGCGAGGGGGAGCCAAUCCCAUAAAGCCAGUCGUAGUCCGGAUCGCAAUCUGCAACUCGACUGCGUGAAGUCGGAAUCGCUAGUAAUCGCGGAUCAGAAUGUCGCGGUGAAUACGUUCCCGGGUCUUGUACACACCGCCCGUCACACCAUGGGAGCGGGUUCUGCCAGAAGUAGUUAGCCUAACCGCAAGGAGGGCGAUUACCACGGCAGGGUUCGUGACUGGGGUGAAGUCG
rnacentral:rRNA from 1 species